AAUGUUUGUAAAAUAUAUUAGUGUAGUGAUUUGUAUUAUUUGUUUUUUGUAUACUUUUUAUGUGUUGUGUAAUUUAACAUAUUUUUUAUCGAACUACGAUGAAAAUAAAGAAACAAUUAUUUCAUCACAAAAGAAUAAAGAUUCUGUAUUAUGGUUGUUAAUAAUAAAUAUGUUUCUAUUAAGUAUUUUUAUAUUACAACAUUCACUUAUGGCUAAUGAUUUCAUAAAACAUUUAUUUUGUAAACUACAAAUAGAUUAUAUGGAAAGAAGUAUUUAUAAUGUUACUAGUGCUAUGGCUCUUCAUUUAUUAUUCAAUAAAUGGCAAAUUAUUUCAUCCAUUAUAUUAUGGAAAGUUAAUAUUAUUUCUAACAAUGUUUUAUGGUUCAUAUUUACUGCUCUUCAUGUAUUGGUUUGGUCAAUAAUUUAUAGUGGAUGUUUAAUGAUGGAUAUAUCUGAAUUGGCUGGAAUAAAACAAGUAUAUUACAAAUUUUCAUUUAGACCAAGUCCCAUGCAAAUGAAAUCUAAAAAAUUAUUACGUUAUUAUUCACAUAUGAGACAUCCAAGUUUUAUAGGAUUUCUUAUUAUUUUAUGGAUAUAUCCUUAUAUGACAUUAGACAGGUUAUUAUUGGCUUCAAUACUCACAAUUUAUAUGGCCUUAAUGUGGAUGAUUGACAAAGAGGAUUAUAAUUAUCAUGUUAAUUUUGUAAACAGAAAACAAAAAGAAUUAUUUUGAUUUCUAUUUACUCAUAUAAUGUCAUUUUUUUAAUUAUUUCCAUUAUUGCAAUUAAAAUAUAUUCAUUUGUACUAAUAUUUAUUUAAAAUCUUUAUAUUAUAAAAUGGAAGUAGAAUUGCAACAACAAAAUUUGUACUAUGUCCAGUUGUAGACAAUACACCUGCUCGAAUUGCUGUUUUAUAUAGAGGACAAACAUAUCUUGGAUCAUCUUCUGGAAGUUUUAAUACUGGAUUUAUAUGUAAAACUGGAAGAGAUGGAUGCAUUUCACCUAAAAUAGAUAAUUUAAUUAUAUUUUCUCAAUAAUACAUUAUUUAAAAAAAUAAUGUUUCUAAAAUUAACACUUUACCUAAAUAUUCAUCUAUUAAUUGCAUGGAUUUAAAAUCCCAUCUACCAGCAUCAAUAAAUAACCCAUGUAUUAGAACUCCAUCUUCUGGCACUUAUUCCUUGUGUUCUAUUUCUAUUUCUUCUUGAUCAAGUAAAACAUUUUUGGCAAUGAAAUCUAAUUUUAAAUGAUCUAUAGGAAUGUUAUAUUUUCUUGCACAUGUUUGUAACAUGCCAGUUAAAAAUCCUUGAGGAAAAGAAAAACCCGAAAUCCAAAAAGAAAUUGGUUUUACAUCAAUUAACCAAAUCUGUAAUGUAUAAUAAUUACUAAACUGUCAUUUAAUAAUUUUUUUUUUUUUAGUUCUUUAAUUUUUUAUUUUAUAGUUUUACUUGAAUGAAGUCAAUUCUUAACUCCAAAUUCUUAAUCCAGCUUCCUAAGGUUUUUAAAGAUGGAUAGACAUUUACAUUAUGCCACAAUUGUGGUACCUAAUUUAUAAUAUAUUAUUAGGAAAAACUAUGAAAGUAAUUGAGAAUAUUUAUAUAAAUUUUUUGAAAAAAUAUUAUUUUUUAAAAUGUUAAUGAAUAAAAAAAAUAAUAAUUGUAACAGAACUUGAUUAUUGAUGAGAGCUAUAAAGACAUUUUCUAAUUCUUCAGACAUGACAACAAAACCUUUGAUGGCUCGUUCUAAAUCUUCUAUUGAUUUAUGUAUUUUGAUUAAAAGUUUAUUAUAUCUGUCAAUUUCUUGAAGGAGAACAAUAGUUAAAGAUGGAAGUCUUCCUGCUGAAUCUCUCUAUAAAAAUUUUAUGAUAAUUUUUAUUUUAUAAUCAAUAACAUAUAUUAAUAUUAUAAUAUAAUAUUAUCAUAUUAUAAAAUUAAAAUUAUUGUUUACUUUUAAAUGUUCAGGAUUACAUUGUUUAGGAUCUAUUUUUAACUGAAUUUUUUCAGUAAUCAUUUCAGCUAAAUCAUGUACUAUAUCUGAACUAGAUUUAUCUUCAUCAGUAGUAAUUUCUUGCGGUUGCACUUCCAAAAUAGUCUUUAAGAUGAAGUGCGUUUCUCUCAACUGAUAUGAUAAUAUAAAUAUAAAUUAAUAUUAAGGAAAUGUUUCCUCUGAUUAUAUUUGAGUAGUUUUAAUUACCUGAUAAGCAAUAUUUGCAUUUUCGUGCAUUCCAAAUAUUUCUGGAUCAUCAAUUAUAGAAAAGGUUUCUAUAAAAUCUUUGUAUUCUUGUAAAGUCUUGUAUACAGGACAAUAAUAUUUUCCAGAUGGUGAAUAAAUAUAAUCUAUAAUAUUUUAUAUUAAUAAAUGUUAAUAUAUGUAAUAAAUGUAAGUAUAUGUUUGUAUUUGUAA